UAUAUAUAUAUAUUGUAGAAUUACUAUGCUAUUGAAAGUAUAGAGAAUUUAAUGCUUCCGAUUUUUUGACACUUGGAUCAAAAAUUAUACAGUUGAGAUGAUUGCGGUCCCCUCUAGGAGUGGAUAAUAUCCCUAGCAUUGAGUGGUCCCUAUAGAAUAAUAGUAUUAAUCCAAAGAUUAGAAAUGAUUAAAAGAGCUUAUCUAAGGACCAAAAAGUCGAAAAUACCAUAUGCUUUAUGCUUCCGAUAGCAUAGUAGCUAGUCUACUCUAUAUAUAUAUAUGUAUAUAUAGUCCGGCUAUUAUAUUCUUAUGAAUUUAGACACCUUUAUAUCCAUAAGUUUUUGACCGUUAAAUAUAUCCGUUUGGUCAUUUCAAUCCGUUNAGUAGGGCUGCUGUGCUCUCAGGAGCACGGAGGCCUCCGUACUCCUGAGUCGUUUUCGAUGAUAGAAUUUUCGAAUCGACGAUCGGCUCCGUUAGACUUGAUCUAGCGUAUUUGAAGUUUUUAGAAAAUAAUUUUUGCGAUUUUUUGAUAUGAUUUACCUAGCAAUCGAAAUGAUUCAAAAUCAAUAAUUUUUAACGGCUGAAAAUAAAAAUUCUAUAAAAAGUGGUGAUAUAGCACUAAAAUUUUCGAUCAGAAAUAUUGAUCUUGUUGUAGAUAGUAUAAAAAUUUUUGUAUCAAAAUUUCAUCUGAUUUGAAUACUUCUACACCUAAACUUGAAAACGGCAUAUAUCAACCAUUAAAAAUUAUUGAUUUUGAAUCAUUUCGAUCACUAGGUAAAUGAUAUCAAAAAAUCGCAAAAAUUAUUUUUUAGAAACUUCAAAUACCCUAGAUCAAGUUUAACGGAGUCGAUCGUUGAUUCGGAAGCUCCAUCACUGAAAACAGCUUAGGAGCACGGAGGCCUCCAUGCUCCUAAUAGCACACAAGACCUACUCUAUAUAUAUAUUAAGGAAUUGAACUAGAAUACUUUUAGAAGCAUCAUCCCCUAGGUGCUAUUAGGUUUUUAGUUUUUUGAUCUACUCAUUGAUUACUAAUAGUUUUUGGAUCAAAUACUAUUUCACCUACCAUCAUCUAUCACCAUCAUUUCAACCAUACAUUUUUCCAUCCAAAGAUUAAAAAUUUAAAAGCACCAGCUUUUUAGUACUUUUGAGAGUAUUCUAGUUCAACUUUAUAUUGAGACAUUCCGACUGACGGUUUAGCCAGCAAAAGGUAAACCGGCAGAAGAAAUCGGCUGAUAAAAAAAUGUAAACUUAUUAUGUCCAACUUUAUUAGUAUAUAUAUUAAUUUUUUAUAUUUUGUUGACUACCUCAGUGUGAGCUUUUUGAGCAUGAGGGAUAGAAGAAGACUAGAAGAGAAAAGGUACGGUAGAAUCGAGUUUAUAAAACUAGAAAAAUACUACCUUUACAUUUUAUAUAGGAAAUACAUCUUACACUCUUGUAUUUCAGGAUUGAUAAAUUUUUGAUAAAUUUUUUUUUUUAAAAAAAGACAAGUAAGAUAAUAUAGAUAAUAACAAAGAAGCCAGGGCGUAAAAUUUACACCUAGACUACAAGCUAGGUGCAUGUAUUGGUAUAGUAUUACUCAUAAAAGAUACUAGUAGAUCUGGAUGGGGUUAGAUACUAUUCAUAAAAUUAAAUGAAGAACUAAUACCACAGGUGGGGUUGGGUACUAAUACUAUUCACAAUCACAAAAUUAUAAUUUUUUAAAAUAUAAUAUUAAAUUGAAGUGACUAAUUAAUAGUUAAAACUUGAAGAUCUUUAAGAAUUGAAAAGACAAAAUAACUUACGCCAUUAUCUUCUGNUAAUGUUCGAGGGAGAGCUUACUUCCAUUGGGUGACAAGGGAACAGGGCUCCUUUGGUUGGUUUAAAGGUGUAAUGGAUGAUGUCGCAGAGAGUGACCACAAUGUGAGUCCUCCGUUUAAACUGUUUUCCUGUUUAGUCUUUCUAACCUUGCCGUUCCUCCUAAGAGGGUUGUUGAUGAAUGAUAAAUUUGAAUAUUUUGCAGCACAUUAUAGAAAUGCACAAUUACUUGACUAGUGUGUAUUUUGAAGACAAUGAAAGGUCUGCUUUGCUUGCAAUGGCUCAGGAGCUUCGGCACGCCAAAAAUGGUGUCAACGUUGUAUCAGAAAGCCGGGUAAAUACUUGCUAAAAUUAAAUGAGAACACACUGGCAAAAAAAAAAAAGUAUAUUUUAUAAACUUAUGCCUUUUUUUUACUACAGAUAAGGUCACAUUUCGGAAGGCCAAACUGGAGAAAGGUGUUUUCUAAUUUGGCCAAUGCACACAAGUGCUCUCUUAUAGGUAUGUGCCACCACAAACGACUCACUUCAUAUGGGAAGAAAUAAUUUAAUCUUUACUACAGUGGGAGUAGCAUUCAUGAUUCAGAUGGCUAUAUGUAUAUGAGUAUCGUAUCAUGUUUUGCAGGCACAUGGCUUCGAGUAGACUCAAAAAUCUAUUGUUAAUUAUCUCCAUGAGAUUGGGACACUUUCGAUUAAGAGACCUUCAUAAUGUUAAUGAAAACGGCUAUAGUGAUUUGUAUUAUGGUAGCACCUUAGUUAUAUGUGCUAAAGCGUAUAAAGUGAUUAAGUCCUAAUUAUAUGUGCUAGGAUAAAAUGUUUGAUUUCGUUGAGCUACGUGUAUGUUUUAGAGCUCAGUUGGGUCCCACCCUAAGGUGAAUGAUUGACCAACUACUAAGUAUAUGCCAAGGAUUAAGUUGAGUUUGAUUUAAGGUUGACCGGGAAGUAGAUCAAGACCUGGUCGAUAUUAGACUCAAGGGCGCAUUCGGUUCAAAAUUGGAAUCUGAAUCGAAAUUGAUCGGAAUCAGAUAUAGAAUGAUAUUUUGGGUUAGAAUAACAAUUGGAAUAAUUGAUUCAAAUUUUUAUUGCUUGGUUGAGACGAAGAAAAUUUUGGUUAUAAAAAAAACUAAAAUAAAAUUGAAAUUAAAAUAUAAAAUAUAAAAUUAAAUUUAAUUGACUUCACAACUUAAAAUAUAGAAUUACAUUUACAAUUUAAAUUCAAACUAAAAUUUAAAUAUUAAAAAUUAACAUCAAAAUUUUGGAACGAUAAGCCAAAAUUUAAAAUGUAAAUAUUUUUUUAAAAAAUUAAAAGUUAAAAUUGAAUUUAUAAUUCAAAAUAUAAAAUUAAUUUACAAUUUGAUAAACUUUAAACUUACAAUUUAAGGUUAAUUGCAUACAACUUGUAAACAUCGCGAAUUGCAAUUCUAUCUCUACGAAGUUCGAUUUUCUUAUAUUAUCCCUGCAAAAGUCCAGUGAUAUUCAUAUGUCCCUCUGGUUUGUUAUCGUUAAAGAACUGUUUAGUUUUUAAUAGCAGAUAAGUGAAAUGUCAAUUUUGACAUCACAAAUAUAUCCCUCCAAAAAUUUCAACUAUUACAAUCGUGUAGAAAUAUCUCUCCGAAAAAUUUUCAAUAGUUAUCUUCUUCCUCAUCAUCUUUCUUUUUAAAAUUCAAUCUAAGAGUUCUCAUUGCUAAAAUUUUGAUUGAGAUACGAAGGUGUAAUAUAAAAUAAUUAAAAUAUCAAUUUAUGUUAUUGACUAAUCAAGAUUAAGUGUUUUAUCUAUAGUUAAUUAAAGUUUUCUAAUGAAUCCUAACGAUAAGGAUGUAUUUAAAAAUAUUUUAACUUUUAUAAAAAUAAUAUAAGAAAGUUAGAACUUUGUAGGAAUAUAUUUAUAAUUUUGUUAUUUUUAUAGAAAGUUAUAUGUAAUUAGUCUUUUAAAAAUAAUAUAAGAAAUAAGUUAGAACUUUGUAGGAAUAUAUUUAUAAUUUUAUUAUUUUUAUAGAAAGUUAUAUAUAAUUAGUCUUUUUUCUUUUUUUUGAGAGAUAAGUAGCACGCUACCCGUUUCGUUUAUUUCAUUUAAAAAUAAAUUUAGCUGGAAAUGUGAAUCAAUAAGAAUUCGAACUUAAAAUUUUAGAUACUAACCAUCAAUUUUUUUGCCACUUGUUCUAGGGACAGAUCAGUACAUGUAAUUAGUCUUAGAUUUAAAUAGGAGUAGUUACACAUUGCAUCUCGAGAAAGUAUCAUUUAGUGUUAGUCAAUAAAGUUAUUCAAGUUAGAAAAAUAUUUUAUUCACCUUCUUUUAUUUCACAAUAAGCGCAAGAUCACGUGAUCGUCCAAGCCGGUCUCCGCCACCAAGUGUUAGUCAACAAAGCUAGUCAUUAUUAGCUGAAUUUAAGUUAUUUAAAUAUUAUUUUAUUCCACAGAAAGAAUUAGAGGAUUCCAAUAUUUCGAUCAAAUGAUAUUUCAAUUCUCAGUUUCUAAGAUCGACACAUCAAAUUUGGGUAAGAACUACAGUAUUGUUGUAUUAUUAAUUAGCUUGUAUAUUUCGAUACAUAUCUACUUUGGUUUUUGGUUUUAUUUUGUUCUGUUUUGUUUUUUUUUUUAAAUUAUUGUAGGUGGCUUGCAUCAUUAGCUUGUAUUUUCCGACUCAUAUCUACUCUGUAGUUUUUAUCCUUUGUUAGGUGGCUAAUAUCUUUGCCCACAACAACUACAAACCUAAUAUAUAUAUAUAUAUAUAUAUAGAGAGAGAGAGAGAGAGAGAGAGAGAAUCCUGCUAUAAUACUAUCAUAGCACCAAAUAUUUUAUAGUACCAAGUUUUUCACUGUUAAAUUAUUUUUUUAAUCAUUUUCAUCCGUUAGAUCAUACUAUUCAACUUUAGAGGACUACUAUAAUUCUAACCGCAUAUUGCUUCACCCAAGGCCGAAAGUUUAAUAGUACCAAUAUAUAUAUAUAUAUAGAGAGAGAGAGAGAGAGCAGGACUGCUGUGCUCUAAGGAGCACGAAGGCCCCUGUGCUCCUGAGCCAUUUUCGAUGAUGGAAUUUUCGAAUCGACGAUCGGCUCCGUUAGACUUGAUCUAGCGUAUUUGAAGUUUCUAGAAAAUAAUUUUUACGAUUUUUUGAUAUCAUUUACCUAACAAUUAAAAGGAUUCAAAAUCAAUAAUUUUUAACGGCUGAAAAUAAAAAUCCUAUAAAAAGUGGUGAUAUAGCACUAAAAUUUUCUAUCAGAAAUAUUGAUUUUGUUGUAGAUAGUAUAAAGAAUUUUGUAUCAAAAUUUCAUCUGAUUUGAAUACUUCUACACCAUUAAACUUGAAAACGACAGAUAUCAACUAUUAAAAACUAUUGAUUUUGAACCCUUUCGAUCACUAGGUAAAUGAUAUAAAAACAUCGCAAAAAUAUUUUCUAUAAACUUCAAAUACGCUAGAUCGAUUCUAACGGAGCCGAUCGUCGAUUCGAAAAUUCCAUCAUCGAAAACGGCUCAGGAGCACGGAGGCCUCCGUGCUCCUGAGAGCACAUCAGUCCUGCUCUCUCUCUCUCUCUAUAUAUAUAUAUGUAUAUAUAGUCCGGCUAUUAUAUUCUUAUGAAUUUAGACACCUUUAUAUCCAUAAGUUUUUGACCGUUAGAUAUAUCCGUUUGGUAAUUUCAAUCCAUUAGAUCAUAAUAUUCAAUCAACAACUCACUCAACUCUAGAAAAUCACUAUCAUCCUAACCGCAUAUCCCUUCAUCCAAUGGCCGACAAGCUAUGAGUACAAAAGAGUCUAUACUUAUAAGAGUAUAGUAGCCCUACUCUCUCUCUAUGUAUAUAUAUUAAAAAUAUUUCAUAAAUAUAUAUAAUAAUAUAUAUUACAUAUUAUAAUUAUAUGUAUAUAAAGUUUUAAUUAUCGGGCAUAUUUGUUGACCCACAAAAUUAAACCAGUAAAAAUCUACUCUAAUUUCUUUUUCUUCCUCUUUUUUACUUGCUCGCAUAGCCGCUUUUCCUGAAUUAUUUUUUCUUAAUAUUAUGAUACUGUAUUCAUGCAUUUGUUUUGUAUGUUGAAUUAUUAGAUAUAUUUUUAUUAAAUAUUAAAUAAU
rnacentral:lncRNA from 1 species